CUAACUCUGUGCCAGCAGCUGCAGUAAGACAGAGGAUGCAAGGGUUAUCCAGAAUGAUUGGGCGUAAAGCGUCUGUAGGUGGCUUUUCAAGUCCGCCGUCAAAUCCCAGGGCUCAACCCUGGACAGGCGGUGGAAACUACUCCAAUGGCACUCAUCCAUGAACCGGUCACUGACACAAAUAACAUGAAGAAAUGUAACCAACGUUUAUUAGAAAAAGCAACCCCAAAAAUUUGGGACCAGAAGCGGUUAGCAGUGACCAUGGAAUAAGUUUCUUCAGCUUGAGUCACGUUAAAAGCACAGAACGUAUUUGCACC
rnacentral:ncRNA from 1 species